UACGAAGGGGGCUAGCGUUGUUCGGAAUUACUGGGCGUAAAGGGCGCGUAGGCGGCCUUGAUAGUUGGGCGUGAAAGGCCUGGGCUCAACCCGGGAACUGCGUUCAAUACUGCGAGGCUAGAGUGUGGGAGAGGUUGGUGGAAUUCCCAGUGUAGAGGUGAAAUUCGUAGAUAUUGGGAAGAACACCGGUGGCGAAGGCGGCCAACUGGACCACAACUGACGCUGAGGCGCGAAAGCGUGGGGAGCAAACAGGAUUAGAUACCCCCGUAGUCC
rnacentral:rRNA from 1 species